CAGGACACACUAUAAAAGCAGUGGCAUCGCACAGCUCUCUAACCACUGCAGCAGCAGCAUCCUCUUGGUGACUGAAGUGGGUUUAUCUCCAUUGCAGAAGGAUGUCACAGUCACUCAGCUCCCGGUGCCUUCCGCCUUGUGAUGUGACAUGCCCCAGACCAUGCGCCGAUGCCUGGAACUGGCCAUGUGUUACAUCUUGCGGUGACUCGAGGGCAGUGGUCUACCCACCUCCAGUUGUUGUGAACUUCCCAGGACCGAUCCUUGCCUCCUGCCCUCAGGAGAGCAUUGUGGGCACCGUUUUGCCACAGCAAUCUGGUGACAUAGGCCCAUUCCCCUAUGGGUCUAGUUCUGCCUAUGGGUCUGGUUCUAGCUAUGGGUUUGGUGGUGGCUAUGGGUCUGGUUCUGGCUAUGGGUCUGGUUCUAGGUAUGGGUUUGGUUCUGGCUAUGGGUUUGGUUCUGGCUAUGGGUCUGGCAGUUGCUAUGGGUCUGUGUCAUCCCGAAGGUACCAUAAGUUCAGCUCUGGAAGUUGUGGACCAUGCUAAGCCCAGCAAGAACGUUUGCAGAACAAGGAAACCUCAGGCAAUGAAAAGCAAGAUACAGCACCACAGCUGGGCUGGUGGAGCUCGCUCUCAGACUUGCCCACAACCUUUCUAUGUUAUGCUUCAUCUUCCAGUAAUAUCUAUUUCCUCUAAAGAGUCUUAAACCAGCGUGGCCUUAAACCUCAGCUUGCAUUGUUCUUUGCCCUAUUUGAUGCUGGCCAGAGUGAGACAAGGAUAGUCACCUGGUAGGAACAGGACUUGAUUGUCAAGCUCCAGUCAUACAACCAUGAAAGAAGACCAUCUUUUGCAAACCCCAUCACAAUGGACUGUAACUUGGACUGAAACCCUGGCGACCCCUUCUUUGUACUCCUCCUCAUUUCAUUCUGCAAAUGUGUGUUCCAUUUUUCCUAUGCAAUAAAAAACCCUGUUGCAAUAUA